UACAGAGGGGGCAAGCGUUGUUCGGAAUUACUGGGCGUAAAGGGCGCGUAGGCGGUCGCCUAAGUCAGACGUGAAAUCCCUCGGCUCAACCGGGGAACUGCGUCUGAUACUGGGUGGCUUGAAUUCGGGAGAGGGAUGCGGAAUUCCAGGUGUAGCGGUGAAAUGCGUAGAUAUCUGGAGGAACACCGGUGGCGAAGGCGGCUCACUGGACCGGUACUGACGCUGAUGCGCGAAAGCGUGGGGAGCAAACGGG
rnacentral:rRNA from 1 species